CUGCAUGUAUGCUUUGGAUGAACACGGCUGCCGAUGGAUAAGCUCAUUGGGCCUCAGAAAACAAGCGUGGAGAAGAUAUGAGAGCAGAGAGUGGAAUCCACCCGGCUGAUGAAAAGAUGACUUCUUUCAGGUCGUGUAGUACAGCAACAUACGUCAUGCAUCUGCUCAAAUUCUAUUGUCUUUCUCGAGAAAUGUCAAAGCAUCACGACUUCGCCUCGUGCAACGGCACUUAAAUGCUGUCCCUUGCGAGGCUGACUGCCGCCACGAUCUGCAACUGCAAUCUUUUCUCAUCCCCUACUGUGGCCGCAGUCAACAUCCCAUGGAGAGAAAAUGUUUCAUAUUUUAACGGUGUACACCAGAGGCCCCCCACCCCUACUGGAAGAUUGCCCCCUUUUUUCCUCCACCACUUUCCCUGAUGCCCACCGCUUUUAAGGAGCAUGUAAAUCUCACCAGUAAAUAUUUCAUCAGGGUCGAGCGGGGCCCAUCCACCCCUCCCCUUUCUCCAGUGGGGUUAAUAGAAUUCGGGCUGGCAGUCUAAUUAAAUCAGGAGAGGAACGCCUGCAAUACACACCCGCGCUUCCCCUCUCACCCAGUGCCACAGUUUUCCAAUCCACCGGAAGUAAAGAUGGAGGGGGGGGGUGAGGGAUGUAUGUCGGGAUAAUUGGUGGGACAGAGAAUCCAAAACGGGUCUCAAAAUAGAUUUACGGUGUUUUGUCCAUGGGGAGAUUGUUAAAAUGACCAAAAUAGACAAAAUAAACUGAAUUUUUUCUUUUGUCAGUAUUUCCCAACCUUUAAGAUAGCCACAAAUAAACAAGGCACGACCGAUGACCAAAAGAGUCACGCGUCCCUUCCAUUGAGUCAUUGAGAGAGGAAUGCGUUGGGCAGAAAUGUAUGCUGUGCAAUAAAUGUUGAAA